rnacentral:rRNA from 1 species
CAGUAGCCGCGGUAAUACGAAGGGGGCUAGCGUUGCUCGGAAUGGCUGGGCGUAAAGGGCGCGUAGGCGGAUGGCACAGUCAGAUGUGAAAUUCCCGGGCUUAACCUGGGGGCUGCAUUUGAUACGUGUUGUCUAGAGUGAGGAAGAGGGUCGUGGAAUUCCCAGUGUAGAGGUGAAAUUCGUAGAUAUUGGGAAGAACACCGGUGGCGAAGGCGGCAACCUGGUCCAUUACUGACGCUGAGGCGCGAAAGCGUGGGGAGCAAACAGGAUUAGAUACCCCAGUAGUCCCUGUCUCUUAUAC